rnacentral:rRNA from 1 species
UACGUAGGGGGCAAGCGUUGUCCGGAAUCAUUGGGCGUAAAGAGCGUGUAGGCGGCCAGAUAAGUCCGCUGUGAAAUCUCGAGGCUCAACUUCGAGCUGUCGGUGGAAACUGUCUGGCUAGAGUCCGGAAGAGGAGAAUGGAAUUCCUGGUGUAGCGGUGAAAUGCGCAGAUAUCAGGAGGAACACCAGCGGCGAAGGCGGCGCUCUGGGCCGGAACUGACGCUGAGGAGCGAAAGCGUGGGUAGCAAACAGG